GCUUGUCUCAAAGAUUAAGCCAUGCAUGUCUAAGUACAAGCCUCAGUAAGGUGAAACCGCGAAUGGCUCAUUAAAUCACACCUAAUCUACUGGAAAGUUACUAGUUACUUGGAUAACUGAGGUAAUUCUUGAGCUAAUACAUGCGAAAAAUCUCGACUCACGGAGAGAUGCUUUUAUUAGAUCAAAACCAACCCGGUCAGCCCCUCUCCGGCCCCGGCCGGGGGGCGGGCGCCGGCGGCUUUGGUGACUCUAGAUAACCUCGGGCCGAUCGCACGCCCCCCGUGGCGGCGACGACCCAUUCGAACGUCUGCCCUAUCAACUUUCGAUGGUAGUCGCCGUGCCUACCAUGGUGACCACGGGUGACGGGGAAUCAGGGUUCGAUUCCGGAGAGGGAGCCUGAGAAACGGCUACCACAUCCAAGGAAGGCAGCAGG
rnacentral:rRNA from 1 species